AUGAACGCUGGCGGCGUGGAUAAGGCAUGCAAGUCGAAUGGGUUUAGACCCAUGGCAAACGGGUUCGGAUAACAUAGGAAUCUACCUCAGAGUCGCGGAUAAUCUGGAGAAAUCCAGGCUAAUACGCGAUACGCUCUACGGAGUAAAGAUUUAUCGCUUUGAGAGGAGCCUGUGUCCUAUCAGCUUGUUGGUGAGGUAAUAGCUAACCAAGGCUAUGACGGGUAGGGGGUGUGAGAGCAUGACCCCCAACAUUGGAACUGAGACACUGUCCAAACACCUACGGGUGGCUGCAGUCGAGAAUAUUCCACAAUGGACGAAAGUCUGAUGGAGCGACGCCGCGUGCGGGAUGAAGGCCUUCGGGUUGUAAACCGCUUUUUUCAGGGAGCAAUUACGAUGAGAGUACCUGAAGAAUAAGAGGUUACUAACUCUGUGCCAGCAGUAGCGGUAAUACAGAGACCUCAAGCGUUAUCCGGAUUUAUUGGGCGUAAAGCGUAGGUAGGCGGGUAUGUUAGUCGGAUGUCAAAGACCGGGGCUCAACCCCGGGAAGGCAUACGAAACGGCAUAUCUAGAGAAUGUGAGAGAUCGGUGGAAUUCAUGGUGUAGUAGUGAAAUGCGUUGAUAUCAUGAGGAACACCCAAGGCGUAGGCAACCGAUUGGCACAUUUCUGACGCUGAGCUACGAAAGCGUGGGUAGCGAAUGGGAUUAGAUACCCCAGUAGUCCACGCCCUAAACGAUGCAUACUAGGUGCAGGGAGAAUCGACCCUUUCUGUGCCGUAGCUAACGCGUUAAGUAUGCCGCCUGGGAAGUACGAGCGCAAGCUUAAAACUCAAAGGAAUAGACGGGGAUCCGCACAAGUGGUGGAGCAUGUGGUU
rnacentral:rRNA from 1 species